rnacentral:rRNA from 1 species
GACGAACGCUGUCGGCGUGCUUAACACAUGCAAGUCGAACGGAAAGGCCCUGCUUUUGUGGGGUGCUCGAGUGGCGAACGGGUGAGUAACACGUGAGUAACCUGCCCUUGACUUUGGGAUAACUUCAGGAAACUGGGGCUAAUACCGGAUAGGAGCUCCUGCUGCAUGGUGGGGGUUGGAAAGUUUCGGCGGUUGGGGAUGGACUCGCGGCUUAUCAGCUUGUUGGUGGGGUAGUGGCUUACCAAGGCUUUGACGGGUAGCCGGCCUGAGAGGGUGACCGGCCACAUUGGGACUGAGAUACGGCCCAGACUCCUACGGGAGGCAGCAGUGGGGAAUAUUGCACAAUGGGCGGAAGCCUGAUGCAGCAACGCCGCGUGCGGGAUGACGGCCUUCGGGUUGUAAACCGCUUUCGCCUGUGACGAAGCGUGAGUGACGGUAAUGGGUAAAGAAGCACCGGCUAACUACGUGCCAGCAGCCGCGGUGAUACGUAGGGUGCGAGCGUUGUCCGGAUUUAUUGGGCGUAGAGGGCUCGUAGGUGGUUGAUCGCGUCGGAAGUGUAAUCUUGGGGCUUAACCCUGAGCGUGCUUUCGAUACGGGUUGACUUGAGGAAGGUAGGGGAGAAUGGAAUUCCUGGUGGAGCGGUGGAAUGCGCAGAUAUCAGGAGGAACACCAGUGGCGAAGGCGGUUCUCUGGGCCUUUCCUGACGCUGAGGAGCGAAAGCGUGGGGAGCGAACAGGCUUAGAUACCCUGGUAGUCCACGCUGUAAACGGUGGGUACUAGGUGUGGGGUCCAUUCCACGGGUUCCGUGCCGUAGCUAACGCUUUAAGUACCCCGCCUGGGGAGUACGGCCGCAAGGCUAAAACUCAAAGGAAUUGACGGGGCCCCGCACAAGCGGCGGAGCAUGCGGAUUAAUUCGAUGCAACGCGUAGAACCUUACCUGGGUUUGACAUGGAUCGGGAGUGCUCAGAGAUGGGUGUGCCUCUUUUGGGGUCGGUUCACAGGUGGUGCAUGCCUGUCGUCAGCUCGUGUCGUGAGAUGUUGGGUUAAGUCCCGCAACGAGCGCAACCCUUGUUCACUGUUGCCAGCACGUUAUGGUGGGGACUCAGUGGAGACCGCCGGGGUCAACUCGGAGGAAGGUGGGGAUGACGUCAAGUCAUCAUGCCCCUUAUGUCCAGGGCUUCACGCAUGCUACAAUGGCUGGUACAGAGAGUGGCGAGCCUGUGAGGGUGAGCGAAUCUCGGAAAGCCGGUCUCAGUUCGGAUUGGGGUCUGCAACUCGACCUCAUGAAGUCGGAGUCGCUAGUAAUCGCAGAUCAGCAACGCUGCGGUGAAUACGUUCCCGGGGCU